AUUGAACGCUGGCGGCAGGCUUAACACAUGCAAGUCGAGCGGGGUGAUGGUGCUUGCACUAUCACUUAGCGGCGGACGGGUGAGUAAUGCUUAGGAAUCUGCCUAUUAGUGGGGGACAACAUCUCGAAAGGGAUGCUAAUACCGCAUACGUCCUACGGGAGAAAGCAGGGGAUCACUUGUGACCUUGCGCUAAUAGAUGAGCCUAAGUCGGAUUAGCUAGUUGGUGGGGUAAAGGCCUACCAAGGCGACGAUCUGUAGCGGGUCUGAGAGGAUGAUCAGCCACACUGGGACUGAGACACGGCCCACACUCCUACGGGAGGCAGCAGUGGGGAAUAUUGGACAAUGGGGGGAACCCUGAUCCAGCCAUGCCGCGCGUGUGAAGAAGGCCUUAUGGUUGUAAAGCACUUUAAGCGAGGAGGAGGCUCUUUUGGUUAAUACCCAAGAUGAGUGGACGUUACUCGCAGAAUAAGCACCGGCUAACUCUGUGCCAGCAGCCGCAGUAA
rnacentral:rRNA from 1 species